rnacentral:rRNA from 1 species
UACAGAGGAUGCAAGCGUUAUCCGGAAUGAUUGGGCGUAAAGCGUCUGUAGGUGGCUUUUUAAGUCCGCCGUCAAAUCCCAGGGCUCAACUCUGGACAGGCGGUGGAAACUACCAAGCUGGAGUACGGUAGGGGCAGAGGGAAUUUCCGGUGUAGCGGUGAAAUGCGUAGAUAUCAGGAGGAACACCGGUGGCGAAGGCGGUUCUCUGGGCCUGUACUGACGCUGAGGAGCGAAAGCGUGGGGAGCGAACAGG